GUGUCUAUAGCUCAGGGGAUAGAGCAAUGCCCUCCGGAGGCAUGUGCGGCGGUUCGAAUCCGUCUAGACACG
rnacentral:tRNA from 1 species